rnacentral:rRNA from 1 species
UACGGAGGGUGCAAGCGUGAUCCGGAUUCACUGGGUUUAAAGGGUGCGUAGGUGGGUUGGUAAGUCCGUGGUGAAAUCUCCGAGCUUAACUCGGAAACUGCCGUGGAUACUAUCAAUCUUGAAUACUGUGGAGGUAAGCGGAAUAUGUCAUGUAGCGGUGAAAUGCUUAGAUAUGACAUAGAACACCGAUAGCGAAGGCAGCUUGCUACACAGUCAUUGACACUGAGGCACGAAAGCGUGGGGAGCAAACAGG